AUUGAACGCUGGCGGCAGGCCUAACACAUGCAAGUCGAACGAGUGGCGGACGGGUGAGUAAUGUCUGGGAAACUGCCUGAUGGAGGGGGAUAACUACUGGAAACGGUAGCUAAUACCGCAUACCAUCAGAUGUGCCCAGAUGGGAUUAGCUUGUUGGUGGGGUAACGGCUCACCAAGGCGACGAUGCCUAGCUGGUCUGAGAGGAUUACCCGCCACACGUGAACUGGAACACGGGCCAGACUCCUACGGGAGGCAGCAGUUGGGAAUAUUUCACAAUGGGCGCAAAGCUGAUACAGCCAUGCCGCGUGUAGGAAGAAGGCCUUCGGGUUGUAAAGAAUUUGCAGCUGGGGAACGUUACCCGAAGAAGAAGCACCGGCUAACUCCCUGCCAGCAGCCGCGGUAAUAC
rnacentral:rRNA from 1 species